AGGAAUGGAGGGAGAACCGGAGUUCUACAAGUCUAAACGGUGUUUGAAGUGACUGGCUCAUUGUCAAGGAGCAGCGCAGGCUCACGAACGCAUGAGGAACGGCCUCUGCCUUUUCACGUGGCCCUGAUCCACACCCGCUUCCAGUUUAAAAACUUCCGAGCGGGCCGAAGGUGGACGGGGCGUGUGUGAAGUUCAUCCAAUGGAGCUGCUUCCCAUCACAUGUUUCCCUGCUCCUACACCUCAGCAACUACAUACAGAGCAGAGAGAGAAAUCAGGGGCUCACCUGUCCAAAGAGGCCACGGGGGAGAGAGGAGGACGUCCUGGUCAAGGAAAGGAAAGCGAGAUGGACGAAAAGAAAAGACCAUUACUGUCAAGUCAGGUUCUUGAAAGUGACCAGGUUUACACUGUUUUAUAUGCAAAUAUAUUUUUUAAGAUUUUAAAUAAUGUGGCUACACACAACCUGAAAAUGUGAACCAGUUGAUUCUUUAUUAUAUUUUAUUGAAAGUGCCAAACAACUACUGUAUAACCACCACCAUCUGUGAGGAGUCAUUGGAUGGACAAUAAUGAGGUUGUGUCAGACAUUGCUUGUACUACAAUUAAAAUGCCAUCAAGCAACAAAUGUCUCAUUGAAAUAUAUUAUUUUCCUGGAGAAGAUAUUUUCUCCUCCCCUUGUUUUCUCUCCAGUUUGAAAUGUCUUAAUUCUCUAUGCGCAGCAGUCGUUUUACUGCCAACUGCACUGUUAGCCUCGACAACAUAAAACAUCAUUUUGGUAUUAUCAGACAUC